AUACAUGCAGUCGAGCGAAUGNGAUUANGAGCUUGCUCUUAUGAAGUUAGCGGCGGACGGGUGAGUAACACGUGGGUAACCUGCCCAUAAGACUGGGAUAACUCCGGGAAACCGGGGCUAAUACCGGAUAACAUUUUGAACYGCAUGGUUCGAAAUUGAAAGGCGGCUUCGGCUGUCACUUAUGGAUGGACCCGCGUCGCAUUAGCUAGUUGGUGAGGUAACGGCUCACCAAGGCAACGAUGCGUAGCCGACCUGAGAGGGUGAUCGGCCACACUGGGACUGAGACACGGCCCAGACUCCUACGGGAGGCAGCAGUAGGGAAUCUUCCGCAAUGGACGAAAGUCUGACGGAGCAACGCCGCGUGAGUGAUGAAGGCUUUCGGGUCGUAAAACUCUGUUGUUAGGGAAGAACAAGUGCUAGUUGAAUAAGCUGGCACCUUGACGGUACCUAACCAGAAAGCCACGGCUAACUACGUGCCAGCAGCCGCGGUAAUACGUAGGUGGCAAGCGUUAUCCGGAAUUAUUGGGCGUAAAGCGCGCGCAGGUGGUUUCUUAAGUCUGAUGUGAAAGCCCACGGCUCAACCGUGGAGGGUCAUUGGAAACUGGGAGACUUGAGUGCAGAAGAGGAAAGUGGAAUUCCAUGUGUAGCGGUGAAAUGCGUAGAGAUAUGGAGGAACACCAGUGGCGAA
rnacentral:rRNA from 1 species